UCAGCUGCAUCUCGAGAAUCAGCAGAACAGCCAACUGGGGCAUUACAAAAAAAAAAGAGAAAAAAAACAAACAAAAAUCAAAAAAGAAAAGAAAAAGAGGAGGGUGCAAAAUCAAAAGAAAUCAAAAGAAAGAAAGAAACAAAAGAGAAAUAGUACCCUCAAGUCCCAAGUUGGCUGAUGCUGAAUGGAUUCAGAGUCGUUACGACCAAGUGAAUCCG
rnacentral:lncRNA from 1 species